rnacentral:rRNA from 1 species
GUACACGCUGUGACUAGCAUAUCAAUAAGCGGAGGAAAAGAAACUAACAAGGAUUCCCCUAGUAACGGCGAGUGAAGCGGGAAGAGCUCAAAUUUGAAAUCUUAAAGGGUUUCCCUUACGAAUUGUAGUUUAAAGAAGUGUUUUCUGUUGAGGUUUUGGUAAAAGUUCUUUGGAAUAGGACAUCAUAGAGGGUGAGAAUCCCGUAUUUGACCUUUACUUUCAACUUUGUGAUACACUUUCAAAGAGUCGGAUUGUUUGGGAAUGCAGUCCAAAAUGGGUGGUAAAUUUCAUCUAAAGCUAAAUAUUGGCGAGAGACCGAUAGCGAACAAGUACCGUGAGGGAAAGAUGAAAAGAACUUUGAAAAGAGAGUUAAACAGUACGUGAAAUUGUCAAAAGGGAAGCGUUUGACACCAGUGUUGUUUUUCUGAAAAUCAAUUAAAGAACUGUUUAUGCUAAGUUGUUUAGACUUUAUCAGCUAACUGUUUAGUUUUGAGCUUUUCUUUAAUGCACUUUUCAGUUAACAAGUCAACAUCAAUUUCUUUUGCUGUAAAAAAGCUUGAGGAAGGUGGCUUGAGAUUCGUCUUAAGUGUUUAUAGCCUCUUGCCUAUGCAGUCGGAGAGAUUGAGGUCUGCAGCGUAGAUCCUUCGGGGCUAAAUGCAUUUGUGCUAAGUUAUAACAUUUUAUAGACAACUUGUUGACUAUGAUUUGUCUUGUAGCUUACUCGCUUAUGUUAUUUUACCUACGCUUAGGAUGUUGACGCGCGUGUGUGCGUG